rnacentral:rRNA from 1 species
CCUUACACAUGCAAGUCGAACGGCAGCACGGACUUCGGUCUGGUGGCGAGGGGNGAACGGGNGAGUAAUACAUCGGAACGUGCCUAGUAGUGGGGGAUAACUACUCAAAAGAGUGGCUAAUACCGCAUGANAUCUACGGAUGAAAGCGGGGGAUCGCAAGACCUUGUGCUACUAGAGCGGCCGAUGGCAGAUUAGGUAGGUGGUGGGAUAAAAGCUUACCAAGCCCACGAUCUGUAGCUGGUCUGAGAGGACGAUCACCCACACUGGNACUGANACACGGCCCANACUCCUACGGGAGGCAGCAGUGGGGAAUUUUGGACAAUGGGCGAAAGCCUGAUCCNNCAAUGCCGCGUGCNGGAUGAAGGCCUUCGGNUUGUAAACUGNUUUUGUACGNAACAAAAAGCUUCGGGUUAAUACCCUGGAGNCAUGACGGCACCGNAANAAUAANCACCGNCUANCUACGNGCCANCACCC